UGCUGCUCCAAAGACAUCAGGGAGCCUGGCCACCUUGCUGUCCAUGCCCAGGUCGACUCCACCAUUCCUAAUGUCAAACCGCUGGCUGGAGAGAACUGCCCUUUGUCUAAGAGAAGUUGCAUGGCAUCCAAGAUUUUGGUAUGGAGGAUCAAAGUGCCCCGAGACUGACUUUUCUUUUCUAUGAAAAAAAGAAAAUUCUGGAGCUUCGAAAAUUACUUGCAUUAAAAAGAGAGAGAGAGAGAGCGAAUGGAGGGCAUGAACCUGGAUGAUUGGCAGAACAGGAAGAAUGCAAACUCCAUGGAGUUGAGAAUCAAAAGUGUCCUGGCCUUCUCUGUAUUCCUACUAUCUUAAACAGUGCUGUCAACAGCAAGCAUUGAAUAAAUGCCUAUUCGGUGA